UUUUUUUUUUGAAAAACCUGACACCCAGGGUAUGCCAGAUCCGCCACAAAUACAGAGAAUCCACUGUUCACACGGACAGAGUCUCCCCUGUAUUUGCACAGCGUCGCACAAGUAGAAGAUACAAGAUUUACCUUACAGGAUACAACCACAUAUAUGAACAUCCACAGAUUUAUACACUAUUCACAUUCACAUUCACAUUCAGAAUUUAUCCAUAAAUUCACAGCUAUUAGUUUAAAAUAUUUCCCACCCAGAAACUCGUUUUAAAACCCUAAGUUAUGAAAACCAAGAAAAACAUUUUAAAAACUGUUUUUCACACGGAAAUCUUUAUCUUUUAAAACUCGCUACCACGAGGGGUAGAAACCAUUUCCAUUUCACCAAAAAUCCAUAAAUCCUUUAUUACAUUUAUAAAACCAGAUGAAUUCAAAGUAAUAAUCAUCGAACCAAAUAACUGUCUAAGUCAUUUAUUUAAA
rnacentral:lncRNA from 1 species